AAUAAGAUCAUUUUUCAGUUUUUUAAUAUGUUUUGACUCUUCGUCUUAUUUGAAAUUUUUUUUACGAUUAAUAUUUUUAUUCUUACUAAAUAUGAUAAAAUAUGAAUAGUACUUUAUGUAUGACUAAUUUUUUAAUAUUUCAUAUAAAAUUUUAAAUAAGACGAAUGAUCAAGCGUUUGACACGGAAAAAC
rnacentral:pre_miRNA from 1 species